CAGCCGCGGUAAUACGUACGGCGCAAGCGUUAUCCGGAAUUAUUGGGCGUAAAGAGCUCGUAGGCGGUUUGUCGCGUCUGCUGUGAAAUCCCGAGGCUCAACCUCGGGCCUGCAGUGGGUACGGGUAGACUAGAGUGCGGUAGGGGAGAUUGGAAUUCCUGGUGUAGCGGUGGAAUGCGCAGAUAUCAGGAGGAACACCGAUGGCGAAGGCAGAUCUCUGGGCCGUAACUGACGCUGAGGAGCGAAAGGGUGGGGAGCAAACAGGCUUAGAUACCCUGGUAGUCCACCCCGUAAACGUUUGGAACUAGUUGUGGGGUCCAUUCCACGGAUUCCGUGACGCAGCUAACGCAUUAAGUUCCCCGCCUGGGGAGUACGGCCGCAAGGCUAAAACUCAAAGGAAUUGACGGGGACCCGCACAAGCGGCGGAGCAUGCGGAUUAAUUCGAUGCAACGCGAAGAAGCUUACCAAGGCUUGACAUAUACGAGAACGGGCCAGAAAUGGUCAACUCUUUGGACACUCGUAAACAGGUGGUGCAUGGUUGUCGUCAGCU
rnacentral:rRNA from 1 species